GCCUGGGUGGCUCAGUUGGUUGAGCGUCUGCCUUCAGCUCAGGUCAUGAUCUCGCAGUUUGUGGGUUUGAGCCCCACAUCGGGCU
rnacentral:tRNA from 1 species